rnacentral:rRNA from 1 species
GAGUUUGAUCCUGGCUCAGGAUGAACGCUGGCGGCGUGCUUAACACAUGCAAGUCGAACGAUGAUCCCAGCUUGCUGGGGGAUUAGUGGCGAACGGGUGAGUAACACGUGAGUAACCUGCCCUUGACUCUGGGGAUAAGCCUGGGAAACUGGGUCUAAUACCGGAUAUGACCUUCCAUCGCAUGGUGGUUGGUGGAAAGCUUUUGUGGUUUUGGAUGGACUCGCGGCCUAUCAGCUUGUUGGUGAGGUAAUGGCUUACCAAGGCGACGACGGGUAGCCGGCCUGAGAGGGUGACCGGCCACACUGGGACUGAGACACGGCCCAGACUCCUACGGGAGGCAGCAGUGGGGAAUAUUGCACAAUGGGCGCAAGCCUGAUGCAGCGACGCCGCGUGAGGGAUGACGGCCUCGGUUGUAAC